GAUAGCAAUCGAAUAAGCCUUCGUAUAUCCUCGGCGAUACGGGCCGAAAGUAUCUACCGGAACACCGUAAAUGUUCUGACUAUGAAGGCAGGAACGGUGACG
rnacentral:ncRNA from 1 species